UACGGAGGGGGCAAGCGUUGUUCGGAUUCAUUGGGCGUAAAGGGUGCGUAGGUGGCGCCGUAAGUCGGGUGUGAAAUUUCGGAGCUUAACUCCGAAACUGCAUUCGAUACUGCGGUGCUUGAGGACUGGAGAGGAGACUGGAAUUCAUGGUGUAGCAGUGAAAUGCGUAGAGAUCAUGAGGAAGACCAGUGGCGAAGGCGGGUCUCUGGACAGUUCCUGACACUGAGGCACGAAGGCCAGGGGAGCAAACGGG
rnacentral:rRNA from 1 species